AAGGCUAGUAAGUUUUUUAAUUACUGAUAGAAGGAAUUAUUUUACCUUUUGCAUCAUGAUUUGCUGAUUUUAUUUCUUUAGUUGAUUUUACCGAAGUGUGCAGAUCUCAAUGUUUUAUGCUUAGUUAAUUGCCCGUGUAGGGUUUAGUAUAAAUAUUUGUGUGGAGAUAUUUUAGUCGUUGCUCACUAUAGCUGUUUGUAAGGUUACUACAUCUAGUAAGUAGCUCCCCGAUGAGGAGGAGUUACGUGUAAUGAGGCUUAUUGUUUAUAAAACUUUUAUUUGGAUUAAAGUUAUCCUUUUUUAAUGUGUAUGUUAAAAUUUUAUGUUACCUUGAAAUUCUCUUAGUUUAUCUCCUUACAUAAUUUAAUUAAGUUAACUUAUUAUGGCUGAAUAAGUAAUAUAAUUUAUGGGUUUAUUUCUCGUUAGCAUUUCGCCUGUUUAUUAAAAACAUCUCUAUCAAAUUUUAUGGAUAGUAGAGCCUGCCCAAUGCUUAGUUGUUAAUGGCCGCAGUAUAUUAACUGUGCGAAGGUAGCAUAAUUAAUUGCCCCUUAAUUAGGGGCUUGUUUGAAUGGUUUGACGUAUUGCUUAUUGAUAUACCCUUAUUUUUUGAAAUUAGUUUGCUUAGUGCAAAACCUAGCAUUUUUAAUUAGACGGAAAGACCCCGAGAGCUUUUAUUUUUUAUUUGGGGCAAGACUGCUUGUUUCAGGUAGUUUGGGUUCCUUAUCUGGGUAGAAGGUUAAGUUACCUCGGGGAUAACAGGGUAAUAAGUUAUUAGAGUUCUUAUCGAUUGACUUGUUUGCCACCUCGAUGUUGACUUAGGAGCACAUGAAGGCGCAGCAGAUUUUAGUGUGGGUCUGUUCGACCCUUAAACUUCUACAUGAGUUGAGUUAAGACCGGCGUAAGCCAGGUCGGUUCUUAUCUAUUUUUGUUGGACACUAGUACGAAAGGACUGUGUUUUAUUUUUGU
rnacentral:rRNA from 1 species